rnacentral:tRNA from 1 species
GAGAGUGUGGCUCAGUGGUAGAGUGUCUGCUUAUUGUGCAUGAAGUCCUAGGUUCAAUCCCCAGUACUGCCA